GUUGACUUUUUAUGUUUAUCAUAACAGGGGUGCAUAUAAUACAGAUAUUUGAAACUUGCAGCAGUCAGGCGGUAUAACAAUACUCAUUCCUGAUGACUGGUUUAAGACUGACAUUGGUCACCAUCCUGUUAUAGAUGGUCCGGAACCCAUACAGCCCACCAUGUCCACAACGAAUGAUCUUGGUCUGGCCAUAGGUGUCCUGAAUGCUUAGGCUUUGGGUACAGACUUGACUGUCCUCAGGUCGGGUGAUCAUGAUAUCGAUGGCAUGGAUGGACAGACCUUGUGUAUAACCAGACUUGAGCACACAGCGACAGGUGCGAGGCCCAGGGACAAUAGGUGAAGGAUAAUCCAAGUUAGACAAAUUUGGUGCCGUAGACUACUUCACGGGUAGAACUAUUGGAGAUUGAGAUGCUUCUUGGAGAUACUGAACCUGGGUUGUUACUGUCUUCAGGGACAAAGACUUUGUGCAGGAGGGAGUAGUGUAGAAGUGGUUUUCAUUUCUCCUUCCUUAUUACAAUAAACUGGAAAAUGUCUCGCAUUAAGUGAUAGGGAACAAAACAAAAGAAGAAAAGAGAAAGGAUUUGUUUUUCUUCUAAAGACUGUGUCAUUUUGAGACUGGAUCUCUUUGUAGUAUAUGGUGGCUAAUUCAUAGAAUAUCAUUUUGGAGGUCCACAUCAGAGCAAUCCAACCUCUCCAACACAUAACGGCCUGCCAUCUCAGCAUCUUGGGAAACACAAACCUGCCAUGAAAACAGGCAGUACAUACACAUUACAGUUCUUUACCUCUGUGUGAAUUGCCAGGUAGUUUAAUGCUCUUCCCCAGAGUAUCUGUUUGAGAAAUAGUUGUGGCACAUUUGAAACAUUGUACAAAUCUUAUUUUAAGCAAUAUGGUCAAAAGCGUUUGAACAAUAUCCCAGAAGAGAGACAUAUUAGAGAUGUUUUACUGUAUGAUGGGGUCUGUAUCCCUACAGCUCAAUAUUUCAAACACAUAUAAAUGCAGACAUGUUGUUGUUUGUGAAUAAUCAUUACUGGCCCUGAAUAUGAACUAAAACCAUAAUUUUCAAGACGAAAUCAUCAAAGUCAGAAUCAAUUUCAUAUAAACUGCUGGUCAUAUAGCAUACAGCAGGUUUAUAGGUGUUUUCAGGGAUGAAAUUGAUCACCCAUGUAAUGGUCUUACAUUACACACCCAAAGUUUGGCAUUCACUACAAAACUACUAGUAUGUAUGAAAUGUGAAGUCCCUCUCAUAAAGCACUAAAACUGAGGCCAAUAACUAAAACAAAUAAAUAUUUAAUAUCCUCA